rnacentral:rRNA from 1 species
UACGGAGGGGGCUAGCGUUGUUCGGAAUUACUGGGCGUAAAGCGCACGUAGGCGGCUUUGUAAGUUAGAGGUGAAAGCCCGGGGCUCAACUCCGGAAUUGCCUUUAAGACUGCAUCGCUAGAAUUGUGGAGAGGUAAGUGGAAUUCCGAGUGUAGAGGUGAAAUUCGUAGAUAUUCGGAAGAACACCAGUGGCGAAGGCGACGACCUGGGCCAAUAUUGACGCUGAGGUGCGAAAGCGUGGGGAGCAAACAGG